CUAGGGUGGCAGCAGUGGGGAAUAUUGGACAAUGGGCGAAAGCCUGAUCCAGCCAUGCCGCGUGUGUGAAGAAGGCCUUCGGGUUAUAAAGCACUUUCAGUGGGGAAGAAAGCCUUGGGGCUAAUACCCUCGAGGAAGGACAUCACCCACAGAAGAAGCACCGGCUAACUCCGUGCCAGCAGCCGCGGUAAUACGGAGGGUGCGAGCGUUAAUCGGAAUUACUGGGCGUAAAGCGCGCGUAGGCGGUCUGAUAAGCCGGUUGUGAAAGCCCCGGGCUCAACCUGGGAACGGCAUCCGGAACUGUCAGGCUAGAGUGCAGGAGAGGAAGGUAGAAUUCCCGGUGUAGCGGUGAAAUGCGUAGAGAUCGGGAGGAAUACCAGUGGCGAAGGCGGCCUUCUGGACUGACACUGACGCUGAGGUGCGAAAGCGUGGGUAGCAAACAGGAUUAGAUACCCCGGUAGUC
rnacentral:rRNA from 1 species